GCUUAACACAUGCAAGUCGAACGGACAGUUAUUUAUAGCCUCGGCUAUGAGUAUCUGUUAGUGGCAGACGGGUGAGUAAUGCGUAGGAAUCUGCCUAGUAGUAUGGAAUAGCUAUUAGAAAUGAUAGGUAAUACUGUAUAAUCCCUGCGGGGGAAAGAUUUAUCGCUAUUAGAUGAGCCUACGUUAGAUUAGCUAGUUGGUAAGGUAAUGGCUUACCAAGGCAAUGAUCUAUAGCUGGUCUGAGAGGACGAUCAGCCACACUGGAACUGAGAUACGGUCCAGACUCCUACGGGAGGCAGCAGUGGGGAAUAUUGGACAAUGGGA
rnacentral:rRNA from 1 species